rnacentral:rRNA from 1 species
UAACGAAUCUUCCGCAAUGGGCGCAAGCCUGACGGAGCAAUGCCGCGUGUGGGAUGAAGCGUCUCUGACGUGUAAACCACUGUCAGGGGUUAGAAACAAUGAUCAACCCCAAAGGAAGUGGCGACUAACUCUGUGCCAGCAGUCGCGGUAAUACAGAGGCCACAAGCGUUAGUCGGAAUCACUGGGCUUAAAGGGUGCGUAGGCUGGUCCGCAAGCGUCUUGUGAAAGCCCUCGGCUCAACCGAGGAACAGCAGGGCGAACUGCGGAUCUUGAGGCAGGUAGGGGUCGCGAGAACAGUAGGUGGAGCGGUGAAAUGCGUAGAUAUCUACUGGAAUGCCGAUGGUGAAGACGCGCGACUGGGCCUGUCCUGACGCUGAGGCACGAAAGCGUGGGGAGCAAACAGGAUUAGAUACCCCUGUAGUCCCUGAGCGGGCUGGCAAGGCGCAU